GAGACCGGCGCACGGGUGCGUAACGCGUAUGCAACCUACCUAUUGCAGGGGAAUAGCCCAGGGAAACUUGGAUUAAUGCCCCAUAGUCCAUAUUGAGAGCAUUUGAGAUAUGGUAAAGAUUUAUCGGCAAUAGAUGGGCAUGCGUCCCAUUAGCUAGUUGGUAUGGUAACGGCAUACCAAGGCUACGAUGGGUAGGGGCCCUGAGAGGGGGAUCCCCCACACUGGUACUGAGACACGGACCAGACUCCUACGGGAGGCAGCAG
rnacentral:rRNA from 1 species